rnacentral:rRNA from 1 species
GACGAACGCUGGCGGCGUGCUUAACACAUGCAAGUCGAACGAUGAAGCCUUUCGGGGUGGAUUAGUGGCGAACGGGUGAGUAACACGUGGGCAAUCUGCCCUGUACUUUGGGAUAAGCCUUGGAAACGGGGUCUAAUACCGGACACCACUUACCUCCGCAUGGGGGUUUGUUGAAAGUUCUGGCGGUACAGGAUGAGCCCGCGGCCUAUCAGCUUGUUGGUGGGGUAGUGGCCUACCAAGGCGACGACGGGUAGCCGGCCUGAGAGGGUGACCGGCCACACUGGGACUGAGACACGGCCCAGACUCCUACGGGAGGCAGCAGUGGGGAAUAUUGCACAAUGGGCGAAAGCCUGAUGCAGCGACGCCGCGUGAGGGAUGACGGCCU